CGGGUGAGUAACGCGUGAGGAACCUGCCUCAAAGAGGGGGACAACAGUUGGAAACGACUGCUAAUACCGCAUAAGCCCACAGCUCGGCAUCGAGCAGAGGGAAAAGGAGCAAUCCGCUUUGAGAUGGCCUCGCGUCCGAUUAGCUAGUUGGUGAGGUAACGGCCCACCAAGGCGACGAUCGGUAGCCGGACUGAGAGGUCGAACGGCCACAUUGGGACUGAGACACGGCCCAG
rnacentral:rRNA from 1 species